UACGAAGGGGGCUAACGUUGCUCGGAAUUACUGGGCGUAAAGGGCGCGUAGGCGGCACUGUUAGUCAGGCGUGAAAUUCCUGGGCUCAACCUGGGGACUGCGCUUGAUACGGCAGAGCUAGAGGAUGGAAGAGGCUCGCGGAAUUCCCAGUGUAGAGGUGAAAUUCGUAGAUAUUGGGAAGAACACCGGUGGCGAAGGCGGCGAGCUGGUCCAUUACUGACGCUGAGGCGCGACAGCGUGGGGAGCAAACAGG
rnacentral:rRNA from 1 species